rnacentral:rRNA from 1 species
UACGGAGGAUGCGAGCGUUAUCCGGAUUUAUUGGGUUUAAAGGGUGCGUAGGCGGGAUGUCAAGUCAGCGGUCAAACUGCGGGGCUCAACCCCGUAUUGCCGUUGAAACUGUACUUCUUGAGUGCUGGAGAGGCAAUCGGAAUUCCGUGUGUAGCGGUGAAAUGCGUAGAUAUACGGAGGAACACCAGUGGCGAAGGCGGAUUGCUGGACCGUAACUGACGCUGAUGCUCGAAAGUGCGGGUAUCAAACAGG